rnacentral:rRNA from 1 species
UACGUAUGGAGCAAGCGUUAUCCGGAUUUACUGGGUGUAAAGGGAGUGUAGGUGGCCAUGCAAGUCAGAAGUGAAAAUCCGGGGCUCAACCCCUGAACUGCUUUUGAAACUGUAAGGCUGGAGUGCAGGAGGGGUGAGUGGAAUUCCUAGUGUAGCGGUGAAAUGCGUAGAUAUUAGGAGGAACACCAGUGGCGAAGGCGGCUCACUGGACUGUAACUGACACUGAGGCUCGAAAGCGUGGGGAGCAAACAGG